ACUGAUAGCACAUAAGCUAACGGUUGUGGAUGGAUGGGGCAAGCUUUAGAGCUAGAUGUCCUUUAGUCCUUUCUCUCUCGCUUCCUCAUCUCGCUCUCUCUAUCUCUCUCCAUCUCUUGCUCCCUCUCGCUCUUCUCUCUGUCUCUCGCUGUAACCCCCCCUCUCUUUCUCUCUGCACCUGAAGACAUCCGUCCAUCUGCCAAAUCCUCCUUCAUCAAGUGCUGUCCAGAGGAGAUCUAUCCGCUGCUUUCAACACCGUGAACCAUCAGAUCCUCCUCUCAGGGCUGGGUGUCUCAGGCUCUACACACUCUUAGAUUGCGUCCUGCCUGGCAGGUCCCUCCUACCAGGUGGCGACACCUCGACAAGAUGGAGCUGCUCUUCCCCUUGGGGGAGACCUGCCCACUCCACGGUGUCCCCCUCCCAGAGUGAAUUUUCUCCAAACAUCAAAGCAGUGACUUGGUCCUGUAGGUUCAUACGCUACAACAUCCACAGAGUACGACCCUUCCUCACACAAGAAGCGGUGCAUGUCAUCUCCAAUCUAGACCUAUGCAACUUUCUGUUGGCUGAGCUCCCUGCUUGUGCCAUCAACUUUUCCAGAACGCCGCAGCCCUCCUCGUAUUCAACAUUCCCAAGUUCUCCCAUGUCACCCCACUCCUCCACACACUCCACUGGCUUCCAGCCGAAGCUUGCAUCCAUUAAAAGACCAUGGUGCUUGCCUACGUAGCAUUACAUUUUAGCAGACGCUUUUAUUCAGAGCGAUUUACAGUAGUGCAUUCAUCUUAAGAUAGCUCGGUGAGACAACACCAUAUCACAUUUGUAGCAAAUACAUUUUCACUCAACAAAGUAGUUAUGCCCCUCCCGGCCUUCAGGCUUUGCUCAAACUCUACACCCCAAACCGAGGACUCCGUUCUGCCACCUCUGGUUUCUUGGUCAUCCCACCACUACUGGGGGUCUGCUCCCGCUCAGCCCUGGCGAAUCUCUUCUCUGUCCUGGCACUCCAAUGGUGGAACCAGCUUCCCCCUGAAGCUAGGACAGCAGAGUCCCUGCCCAUCUUCCGAAAAUGUCUGAAACCCUACACCUUCAACCCCUUCAAACCCCUUCAAAUAGUAUCUAAAAUGAAUCCCACUAGCACUGACUACUGAUAACUACUUUAUUGAAGGUAAAUAGACUUGCUAUGACUGUAAUAUGUGGUUGUCUCACCCAGCUUCAGGAGGUGAGGUCAUGUGUGCUAGCAAGGCAGAGGGCCUGGGUAUGAGCCGAAUCAAGGGGAAGUGGUACUCACUCAAAAGCAGCGUAACGUCUUUUACAUUAGCAUAAAAACAAGGCUAUUGAAUGCUGUACUGCCUUGAAACUGGUGACUACGGAUAGAUAUGGAUUUUUGGUUCAGAAUUAUCAUAGAAUGUCAUAUCAGUCUUUGUGAGAGGUCUACUGUAUGCACAUUGACAAUAAAGAGCAUAUCACAAUCCUAAA